GGUGAACGCUGGCGGCGUGCUUAAGACAUGCAAGUCGAACGGCAGUCUUCGGACUGUAGUGGCGCACGGGUGAGUAACGCGUAACUGACCUACCCCAAAGUCGCGGAUAACGAUUCGAAAGAAUCGCUAAUACGUGAUGUGCUGUCAGAUUGUGUUCUGCCAGUAAAGAUUGAUUGCUUUGGGAUGGGGUUGCGUUCCAUCAGCUAGUUGGUGGGGUAAAGGCCCACCAAGGCGACGACGGAUAGCCAGCCUGAGAGGGUGGCCGGCCGCAGGGGCACUGAGACGCGGGUCCCACUCCUACGGGAGGCAGCAGUUAGGAAUCUUCCACAAUGGGCGAAAGCCUGAUGGAGCGACGCCGCGUGAGGGAUGAAGGUCUUCGGAUCGUAAACCUCUGAAUCAGGGACGAAAGACACUUCGGUGGGAUGACGGUACCUGAGUAAUAGCACCGGCCAACUCCGUGCCAGCCGCCGCCGUAAAAC
rnacentral:rRNA from 1 species